rnacentral:rRNA from 1 species
ACGUAUUCUGAAAGGGAUACUUCUUCGGACAAUAUACAAGGUGCUGCAUGGUUGUCGUCAGCUCGUGCCGUGAGGUGUCGGGUUAAGUCCCAUAACGAGCGCAACCCCUAUCAUUAGUUGCCAUCAGGGUCAAGCUGGGGACUCUAAUGAAACUGCCUACGCAAGUAGUGAGGAAGGUGGGGAUGACGUCAAAUCAGCACGGCCCUUACGUCCAGGGCUACACACGUGCUACAAUGGCCGAUACAGAGGGCAGCUACCUGGUGACAGGAUGCAAAUCUCCAAAGUCGGUCUCAGUUCGGAUCGGAGUCUGCAACCCGACUCCGUGAAGUUGGAUUCGCUAGUAAUCGCGCAUCAGCCAUGGCGCGGUGAAUACGUUCCCGGGCCUU